AUUAUGCGCGAGUGCGAGUGCGAGUACCUGAUAGUGUCGCAACUCAGAAGCUAAGCAGGGCAGUACCUGGUUAGUAAUUGAAUGGGAGACCAGGUUGGAAGACCAGCGGGCACCUAUCC
rnacentral:rRNA from 12 species